rnacentral:rRNA from 1 species
AUUGAACGCUGGCGGCAGGCCUAACACAUGCAAGUCGAGCGAGCGGCGGACGGGUGAGUAAUGUAUGGGGAUCUGCCCGAUAGAGGGGGAUAACUACUGGAAACGGUGGCUACUACCGCAUACUAUCGGAUGUACCCAUAUUGGAUUAGCUAGUAGGUGGGGUAAAGGCUCACCUGGGCGACGAUCUCGAGCUGGUCUGAGAGGAUGACCAGCCACACUGGGACUGAGACACGGCCCAGACGCCUACGGGAGGCAGCAGUGGGGAAUAUUGGACAAUGGGCGCAAGCCUGAGGCAGCCAUGCCGCGUGUAUGAAGAAGGCCUUAGGGGUGUAAAGUACUGUCAGCGGGGAGGCGUUACCCGCAGAAGAAGCACCGGCUAACUCCGUGCCAGCAGCCGCGGUAAUAC